AAAGAAGCUUUUUAGUGCCCUUUUAGGCUCAGAGCAAAACGAGUAGAAGGUACAGAGAUUUUCCGUAUUCUUCCUGCCCCUGCAACAAACAUGCCCUGCCUCCUUCAUCAUCAGCAUUCCUUCCCAGAGUGGUACACUUUUUAUAAGUGAUGAUCCUACACUGACACGUCACCGUCACAACGAGUUCCUCGUUGACAGCAGGGUGCACUCUUGGUGUUGAACAUUCCAGGCUUUUGGACAAAUGUAUAAUGACAUGGCUCCACCACCGUAGUAUCACACAGAUGAGUUUCACUGCCCUAAAGUCCUCUGUGCUCCACUGAUAUUUAUUCCCUCAUUCCCCUGCCCCCUCAACCCCUGACAACCCCUGAUCUUUUUAUUGUCUCCAUACUUUGGUCUUAUUUAAUGUCUUUUGAGGUUGCACUGCUGCCCUAAGACACCAUAUGAGUAGAGGGUUAGCCACCUCAGCCAAGAGUCAUUUGGUCUGGUCAGGUCUCCACCUUCGGGACAAAAACAUUUCAGAACCAUCCUAACAAUAGUGUUCCUGUAGUAACCAGACACUGUUUGUAUCCAUGGCAACGUGGCUCCACGAGCACUGCUUCCGAGGAGCAGCUGCCCUUCCUGGGCACCAUCAAGAGUUGUUCUUCUCUGACAUCCAUUCCCUUCUUGCCCUGGCACACACCCCAGCCCGGGUACCAGGCAGCCAGGGUCUUCCAUGGCUGUCCAGAUGCAUUUCUUCACAGCUGGAAUGUGGUUGGCUUGUGGAUUUCUGUUUCCAGCAUAGUGGACAGUGGGCACUAUAAACCAGUAGGCACUCAAUUGAUGAUUCUUCAGUGAAAUAACUGAUGCCACAUUUAGGUCAGUCUUUCUUGCAUAUCUUCUGUUCUUCAACAGAGUCCCGCAAUACCCUAGAACUUUAUCUUGGGGUUUCUGAGACGGUGGAGUACCCAGCUGUCACUUGCUGCAGAGUUUCUGAGUCAGUACCUCUGGGGCAGACCCAGUACUCUGCAUGUGAGCACAGAUCCAGGUGGUUCUGACCCUGGUGCUCCAGAAAGCAGACAAUAGGACUGCAUGCUUUAGAGGCAGUGGGUAUCAUCCAUCCCUAUCUAUGGCAGUGAUUACAGGGCAUGCCCUGGCCACAUGAGCACAUGCUAUUAUAAUUAUUUCGUGGGAUGGAUGAGCUACAGAACUGGAGUCGUAAUACUUGAGUUCUGGUUUCAACUCUGCCAGCCACUGGCUGAUUGAAACAGAACAAGCCACCCGCCUUCCCUGAGACUGUCUCUUCUCCUGUGAAAUUGGGGCAUUAGAAUACAUGAAGAGCCCUUUAUGUCCUUAAUAAACUGUGAGUUUAAGAAUCCAGGGAAUCUCCAUGCUGGUGGCUGCAGUUACAUCCCCUUAUCCUCAAUCCGUCAAGAAAGAGUCAACAAAGGCGGCAGGGUUGUCAGCUGCUCUCCUUAGCAGGUCUCGUGAGGGAAUUGCCUUCGCCUUCCCCAGCCACCACCACACUCCCAAGCGGCCACCAUCACCUGAACCAUCUGGCAGUGGGGUUCCCCUCCUAAAACUGAGACACAGAGGCCACCGCAGACGUUUCUUCCGGGCUGUCCUCCACUCCCUCCCAAAGGCUCGGUCCUGUUGGGGUGCACACCUCCAAGGACUCACUUUCUGUGUUUCCUAUCUACUAGUGUUACAGAAACUGCUGCAGACCAGGGGCCAACAGCCCAUAGGUUCCACUUCUUGCUGUGACACUAAUGAGAUGGGUGACUGCUGGCAAGCUACUUUAUCUCUCUGACCCUAACUCCCAUGUGCAAAAUUGGGUCCUGAAGUCCAAAUUUGAAUUCUUUGUGCAAAAUACACAUGGCCAGGUCCUAUCCUCAGAGACCCUGACUCAGUCCAGGGAAAAGUUGAGAUUUUGGGGAGAAAACAGCUCUAUAGAGGAAGGAGUCUAGCCUUCACGGAGUGCCAAGAUCUCCGGUUUCUCGGUUAACAAUGUUACCCUAACUAAUCCAUAGUCUGAUGUCACCUGCUAACAACUUACCCUGUAGCGUCAAACCAGUAGCCCAUUUGCAGCUAGUACAAACACUCCUUUACAUUUAUGUUUUGUUUACGAGAUUUCGCCUAUAAUAAUAGAUCCUGCCAGUCGGCCUGCAAAUGCAUAUGUUCCAUUGCUAAUAGGAAAAACUGCAUCUAAUAUAAACGUUCUCUCUGGGAGCUUAGCACAGAGGCAGGCCUUGCAUUGCAAACAUUUGAAAAAACAUAACCAGGUAUUCUGGACUGUGUUUUAAAUCACCUGAGAACAUUUCUUGAACACUAGCAUUUGCUUAGAGUGACAAACCUAUUAAGUGGUUCUUUCAGUUAAGUUUGCAUCUAAGCAAUGCCGUAUGAAUAGCAGGAGGAAGCCAGGAGCUGUAUCUGGCUUUCUGGCCAUACAAAUGGCAUAUGGGAAAGUCAUUGUAUAUUAUUAAUAUCUUUUGAUGUAUAUUUUUAUGACUUUCUCACAAUAUUAAUGUUAUUGGUUUUUAUUAAUGUUAUUUUUAUAGCAAUGCUAAUAUUAUGAGCUGAAAGUUCUGAGCAUCUGCUGGGUGCCAAAAAUUCUUAUAAAUGCUUUAUAUGCAUCAGCUUCUAACAACAUUAUGAAGUAAUUCUUAUUGUCCUCACUUGACAUAUACAAGAAAUAAAAACCUGAGCAUUAGGCUGGACGCGGUGGCUCACGCCUGUAACCCCAACACUUUGGGAGGCCAA